GACGAACGCUGGCGGCGUGCUUAACACAUGCAAGUCGAGCGAACAGACGCGGAUUUUGUUCCUUUCACGUUAGCGGCGGACGGGUGUGAAACACGUGUAUAAUCUACUUAUAUGACUGGUAUAAUCUCGGGAAACCGGAUCUUAUACCGUAUAAUAUAUUGAACCGUAUGGUGCAAUAGUGAAAGUCGGUGUUUCUGUCACUUAUAGAUGGAUAUGAGCUGGAUUAGCUAGUUGGUAAGGUAACGGGUUAUCAAGGGAACGAUGCGUAGGCGACCUGAGAGGGUGGUCGGCGACACUGGAACUGAGACGCGGUCCAGAGUCCUGCGGGAGGCAGCAGUAGGCAAUCGUCCGCAAUAGGCGAGAACCUGACGGAGCGGCGCCGCGUGAGUGGUAGAAGUCUUCGGAUCGUAAAGCUCUGUUAUUGGGGAAGAACAGAUGUGUAAGUAAAUGUGGACGUCUUGACGGUAACUAAUCAAAAAGCCACGGCUAACUACGUG
rnacentral:rRNA from 1 species